AGACGGAGGCACGCUCUGUCGUCCAGACUGGAGUGCAAUGGCCCACCCUCUCAGCUCACUGCAACCUCCGCCUCUCGAGUUCAAGCGAUUCUUCUGUCUCAACCUCCCGAGUAACUGGGAUUACAGGCGUGCGCCACCAUGCCUGGCUAAUAUUUUGUAUUUUUAGUAGAGACAGGGUUUCACUGUGUGGGUCAGGCUGGUCUCAAACCCCUGAUCUCAGGUGAUCCACCCGCCUUGGCCUCCUAAAGUGCUGGGAUUACAGGCAUGAGCCACAGCGCCCUGCCCUGAAGUAUUUUUUUUGAUGUAUCUCAAGCCCAAUUGUUCUGGGGAGUGGGGCCAAUUUUGCUCCCAGGGACAAAUCUGGAGACCUUUAUGGUUAUCACAACUAUUCAUUAUGGGGGUGCUACUAGCAUCUAGUGCAUCAAGGCCAGGGACGCUGCUAAGCAUUCUGUUAUGUAUGGGACAACCCCUUACAACAGUUAUCCGUCGUAAAUGGCAGUGGUGCAAAAUUAAGAAAGAAACCCUGCCCCAGACUGGUUGUUUACUUUCUGCUCAGGGCUUGCUAUUUCAGCAACACUAAACUGCCUGCAAUGACCACAGGUUGUUACCCUCUACUAUUGUUGACUGGAGUCACCUCCCGUUGUUAAUGUCUGUUGUUAUUGUCUGGGCCAUUCCUUGCUGUUACUUGCCUCAUUGACUUUGCAUUUCCUUUCCUUAGAAGGCUACAUCUCUCUUCUAUGCCCUGCUCAGUUAACUUGUUUGUUCUGGAAGACUGCUUUUGAAAUGGUCUUCCCCAGGAAGACUUUUCUGACUUUACCCUUUCCUCUUCCUCUUAAUCUUUGUUUCAACUAACUGAUUCUCAGUAGUUGAUUGAGAGUAUGUCCAGAGAAGGGGAUUGUGUAGCUGUAGUGUCCAAUACAGUGUCUGAUAUGCAGUAGGCAGUAAAUGUUUAUUGACUGUAUUAACAGAUUAAGGUACUCCCAAAUUGUGAUACUUUUGUCAAUGAAAAGUGUCAAACUCUAAAAUAUUCUAAGAGAUUUAUUCUGAGCUAAAUGUGAGUGACCAUGGCUCAUGACACAGCCCCAGGAGAUCCUGAGAAAAUGUGCCCAAGGUGGUCGGGCUACAGCUUGGUUUUAUACAUUUUAGGGAGACCUAAGCCAUCACUCAGUACAUGUAAGAUGUACAUUGAUUUGGUCUGGAAAGCUGGGACAACUCGAAGGGUGAGGGGGGCGGUCUUCCAAGUCACAGGUGGAUUCAAAGAUUUGCUGACUGGCAAUUGGGUGAGAGUUCAUUUAAAUCCCUGGAAUCAGUAGAAUGGAGUGUCUAGGUUAAGAUAGGGGUGUGGAGGCUGGGCACAGUGGCACGCGCCUGUAAUCCCAGCACUUUGGGAGGCUGAGGCGGGUGGAUCACAAGCUCAGGAGAUCGACAUCAUUCUGGCUAACAUGGUGAAACCCUGUCUUUACUAAAAAUAUGAAAAAUUAGCUGGGCAUGGUGGCGGGCACCUGUAGUCCCAGCUACUCAGGUGGCUGAGGCAGGAGAAUGGCGUGAACCCGGGAGGUGGAACUUGCAGUGAGCUGAGAUCGCACCACUGCACUCCAGCGUGGGUGACAGAGCGAGACUCUGUCUCAAAAAAAAAAAAAAAAAAAGAUAGGGGUGUGGAGACCAAGGUUCAUAUUAUGCAAAUGAAGCCUCCAGGUAACAGGUUUCAGAGAGAACAGAUUGCAAAUGUUUCUUUUUUUAAAAUUUUUAUUAUUUUUUAAAGAGAUAGGAUCUUGCUUUGUUGUCCAGGCUGGUCUAGAACUCCUAGGCUCAAGUGAUCCACCUACCUCAGCCUCCCAAAGUGCUGGGAUUAUAAGCCUAGCCUGUAAAUGAUUUUUUUUUUUCCCCCAAAUGCAGUCUCCUCACCCCCGCCCCUAGACGGAGAUGGAGUCUUGCUCUGUCACCCAGGCUGGACUGCAGCGGCGCGAUCUCAACUCACUGCAACCUCUGCCCCCUGGGUUCAAGCAGUUCUCCUGCCUCAGCCUCUCGAGUAGCCGGGAUUACAGGCACCUGCCACUGCGCCUGGCUAAUUUUUGUAUUUUUAGUAGAGACGGGGUUUCACCAUGUUAGCCAGGCUGGUCUCGAACUCCUGACCUCAGGUGAUCCACCCGCGUCGGCCUCCCAAAGUCCUGGGAUUACAGGUGUGAGCCGCUGCGCCCAGCCACAAAACAGUCUUUAUUAUGAGAAAGCAGUGUUAUCUAGUCUUUAUUAUAAGAAAGCAAUGCUAUCUGGUUUCUUUCUAAUAAAAUAAAAGCAGUUUUCUUAAAUAAUUUACAAAGGGCAGAAAUUGCUCUUGAACAGGGCUACCCCUCCUGGCACACCCACAGUGCUCUGCCUUGAACAUAUAAAUAGGUACCUGUGAGCCCAGGGUUUAAGCCUGGAACUAUCUCCUAUGCCUUCCUCCAGGUCCCUGGUAGGGAAAGCAGGGAUGAGAGUGGUGCCCCCAAGGGCCUUGGCACUGGAAACACAGUGGGCGAGUGACUCUGUGGAUGACUCCCCAAAAACCAAGCACCUGGUUUGAGUUCAGAGCUCUCAAACAUCUGAUGCCAGCUCUUCACAUUGUAGAUGAAGCAAAUACCAGGCUCAAGGUCAAGUAUACGAUGCAUUACUAAACCCAAGAGUCCCCUUGGGGAGUAGAAGGAACAAUUCUCCCCACCUCUGCAAGAUCUCCCCAAGACACUCUCAGGCUGUGGCAGGCAGUCACUGAUGGGUCCAGAUGUGGCUGGAGCAGGGGGGCUCUGGGCUCCUUGCUAGUCAGGUCUUUGUUAGCAGUGGCCCAGGGGUACUGAUGACUCCUGGGAGCUUCCGCCAGGAAGCUCAUGGGGAAGCACAGACAUUCUGGGGUACGAAGCCUUGGUGGUCAGACAGGGCUUGUUUCCUGCAGGGCACUUCCUCAGUCAUGAAUGAGAGUGUCAUUUCACCACUCUCUUCCGCCAUAAUGGCUUCAUCCAGCUCUUGGGACAGCUUCUGGAGAUGCCGAAUUCCUGCUCCCCAUAGGUGCUAGGUCACUAUCAGAUGCGCUGGGAGAGCAGAGGAGCUCUGUCAAGGAGUAGGGGCUCUGGAAGGCAGUCUCCCGCCUCCACUGCCGUAGAGGGUAGGCACGUGAGCCUGUCCAGGUAGAGAGGUGGUGAUGCACAGGGGUCUGUAGCUGAGUGGUCAGGGGCAGCUCCAUACAGCUGAAUCCUCUUCUGGCUCAGGCUGUGAGUUGGGGAGACACUGCUCUCCCUUUUGUACCCCUUUCUUCCUCCUCCUGGCCUUCACCUGGGUCUCCACCAGACACUUGGUGCUACUUUGGCAGGACUCCUGGAUUCUCUGUGACAUGGCACCCAGGGUGCUCUUAGCUGAGCGAGCUGCAGCCUGGAGUCUCUUACUGCCCUGACCCUGGUUUCUAGGGGUUUCUAGGAGGUACCUGUCCGGAGGUUGAGGUUGACGGCUCUUAGGGGCAGCCUUCUUUGGAACUGUCUGCACAGAGAACCCAGGGCCCUGGCGGAGAUCUCCCAAUGGCUAACCAUAGGCUGCCGCUCCUUGCUGUCCAGCGGCUGCUCCUGGUGCUGGAGAGAUCUCCGGUGCAUGGAGGCCCUCGCAUCCUGCCACUGAGAAACCAUCUGUCUGGCCAAGAGUCUACUCUGCCCACUAGACCUCAACACCCCCAACAUGUGCCUGAAGCCGAGCACUGUAAAUGUUAAAUGUUUCUUAUAAGACUUAAAGAGACAACUUUGCAGGGCCAUUUCAAAAUUUGUCAAAGCUAUAUAUUUUGGGCCAGAUGUGGUGGUUCAUGCCUGUCAUCACAGCACUGUUGGAGGCUGAGGGAGGAGGAUUGUUUGGACCCAGGAGUUUGAGACCAGCUUGGGCAACAUAGCAGAGAGACUCUGUCUCUACCAAAAAAAAAAAAAAAAGGAGGGGGAUUAAAGAACACCUGAAAUACUUCUUUCAGGGUUUGCUGUCUGUCAUAUUUGUAUCUUAUUGCUACUAGUAAUCUGUUUUGUCAGUCCUAAGGUCUCUGUUUUAAUGUUAAUGCUGGUUAGCUGUGCCAGAAUUCUGAAGGGAAGAGAGUAUAAUGAGGCGUGUCUGACCACCCAUUCCCAGCAUGGCCUGAACUAGUGUUUCAGGUUUACUUUAGAAUGCACUUGACUGAAUGGAGAAGGAUUCACCUUCAUUCAGUUGGUUGGGGGGGCUUAGAAUUUUAUUUUUGGUUUAUGCUUUCUUUUUUAUUUUUUAAGACAGGAUCUGGAGAGCAGUAGCCUUGACAUCCUAGGUUCAACUGAUCAUCUUACUUUAGGACCCUCCCCAUCCCCUCCAGUAGCUGGAACUAUAGGCAUGCCACCGCGUCUGGCUAAUUUUUUUUUUUUUUUUUUUAAAUCUUAGGUAGAAACAAGGUCUUGCUGUGUUGCCUAGGCUGGUCUCAAACUCCUGGGCUCAAGCAGUCCUCCCACCUUGGCCACCCAAAAUGCUGGAAUUACAGGCAUACUUACUUAGUUUUGGCAGAACAUAGCUUUAACUUUCAGUGUUUUAAGCAAAUGAUGAGAGUGAUGAUGCUUUAAUGCUUCCCCUGCCCGAAACAGUGUCUCCUUUUAUUGCCUGGGCUAGCGUACAGUGAUCAUAGCUCACUUCAGCCUUGACCUCCUGGGCUCAAAUGGUCCUCCCACCUCAUCCUUCUGAGUAGCUGGGACAACAGGUGCACAAUACCAUGCCUGGCUAAUUUCUUUCUUUUUUGUUUUUUUUUUUUUUUUUGAGACAGAGUCUGCUCUGUCACCCAGGCUGGAGUGCAAUGGCAUGAUCUUGGCUCACUUCAACCUCCGCCUCCUGGGUUCAAGCAAUUCUCCUGUUUCAGCCUCC
rnacentral:lncRNA from 1 species